GUGCUUGCUGCGGCAGCACAUAUACUAAAACUGGAAUGAUACAGAGAAGAUUAGCAUGGCCACUAUGCAAGCAUGACACGCAGAUUUGUGAGGCGUUCUCUAUUUUU
ensembl:snRNA U6 U6 spliceosomal RNA